AGCGAACGCUGGCGGCAGGCCUAACACAUGCAAGUCGAACGAAGUCUUCGGACUUAGUGGCGCACGGGUGAGUAACACGUGGGAAUGUACCCUUUGGUUCGGAAUAACGUUUGGAAACGAACGCUAAUACCGGAUGAGCCCUGUGGGGGAAAGAUUUAUCGCCAAAGGAGCAGCCCGCGUCUGAUUAGCUAGUUGGUGGGGUAAAGGCCUACCAAGGCGACGAUCAGUAGCUGGUCUGAGAGGAUGAUCAGCCACACUGGGACUGAGACACGGCCCAGACUCCUACGGGAGGCAGCAGUGGGGAAUAUUGGACAAUGGGCGGAAGCCUGAUCCAGCCAUGCCGCGUGAGUGAUGAAGGCCUUCGGGUUGUAAAGCUCUUUCGCACGCGACGAUGAUGACGGUAGCGUGAGAAGAAGCCCCGGCUAACUUCGUGCCAGCCGCCGCAGUAAGAC
rnacentral:rRNA from 1 species